UCCACUGCAUGUACACAAGCACCGCUCAAAAAAAAAAAAAAAAAAACAGACAUCUGAUCUUAGUGAUAAAUAUUAUACACCUUACCACUAAUGUCAUCGAUUCCCCCAAAUUCACCCUGGAGAGGAUGCGCAGCAUUCUUUCCACAACCUGUAUCUGAAAGUAAUCAAUCUGCAGCUCAAUUUCUUACUGAAACUGUCUACUACUUUAAUUGCCGUGUAAUAAAUCCUCCUUUAGAUGAUAUCGAAUGCAGAAGCAGUGAUGGCGAACAAGACAUCCUUCGCCAUGUCUUCCGUUGGGAUACUGCACCUUAUCAACACGUUUUUCAGCAUGGAUUCGAAGCAAGGCGUCAAGGAGGUACUCCCGAUGAAAUUUACUUCAAUUUGGAUCACUAUGUUCAUCAUAGUGGCAGACCUCUUGAUUCCACUAGGCCUGCCACGCAUGUCUUCAUUAGCACCACCCUUAGCAGUGCUUGGUAUCCAACUCUCCCUGAUGGGACACAAGAAGUGUAUCGUUAUGAGAUAUAUGCACCAGGGGGUAUUUGGGUUGCUGAGACACUUGGAGAUCGUUACAGAUAUCCUGCCCAAGAUGAGGUUGCCUUUGUUGCUGGCAUAGCCCCUCAAUACAUUCGCUCUGCUCAAUUGUUCAGACUUACCCAUAGUGGAAGGUAUACAAGACGGGAGAGGGUGGAUAACAGACUAAUUGUCAACCGUAAUUACAAUCCUCAAUCACAUCCCUCAAGAGUGCUCCCCAUUCAGAGGCCUGUAUUUGAUUAUAUUCUUAAUGGUAGGAGGGAACUCUUAAAUCUUGUUAUCUACAAUCCUAAUUCUGCAGCUGGAGCAAAUGAUAACGCAUCAAGAGAGAAACGAGAAGUCUCCUAUGACGUCAUUGAUUGGUAUACCGACAAAGUGGCAGAUGUUGGCACUUACAUAAAUGCUGCAUUUCAGUCAGCUCGUAAUCGAGACGAAGUCUAUUUAUUCAUGAAAAAUGAGUACGUUCUUGUAAACUAUGCUCCAGGAACAACCAAUGAUAGGGUGAUUAAUGGGCCACUUCUUAUUUGCGAUGGGUUUCCAUCACUUACAGAUACAGCAUUUGCAGAGUUCGGAGUAGAUUGUGCUUUUGAGAUCAUCAUGGAAAUGAAGCAUUCAUCUUUUCUGGGAAUCUUUGUGCACGUAUAGACUAUGCACCUGGCACUCUCAAUGACAAGAUACUCAGGGGUCCAAUGCCCAUUGGUACCAUGUUCCCCUUCUUCAAGAGGACAGUAUUUGAGACGAGUAUUGAUGCAGCUUUUGAGGCAACCGCUACCAAUGAGGCUUAUCUGUUCAAAGAUGAUCAAUAUGCUCUUAUAGACUAUUCGGAACCCAGAAGGAUUGCUAUCCGUAAAAUAACUGAAGGCUUUUAUAGUUUGAGAGGUACUAUUUUCGAAAGUGGAAUUGAUGCGGCCUUUGCUUCUUCCAGGAAAAAUGAGGCGUACCUUUUCAAGGGAGAUCAGUAUGCACUCAUUAAUUUUGCUCCAGGAACAACCAAUGACUACAUCAUUGGUGGUGUGAAGCCAAUCCUCCCCAGUUGGCCUAGUCUUCGAAACAUAUUACCUCGCAAAAAUCGUGGCCUUGACAUUCAUGAACACUCUCAUAAUACUCCUGAACCCGAUAGAGACAGGGAUGAUCUUUGAAUAGUUGAGACUAUAAUAUCAUGCAUAAACUAUGAAUAAUGUUGAGGUCUUAAUCUUGUUUUAUUUUUAAUUUUCUGUGUUCAAUUGAGAAGUGCCUUGCUAAAGGGUAUAUGAAAGGGUUUCUGUUAGAAUAAUAAAUGAAGAAGGAUGAGUAUGUAUGGGGUUUAUUACUGGUACAAUAAUAAAUAAAGAAGGAUCAUGUA